GUACUGCAUCACGUAUUUAUUUGCUUGUCUUCCCCGCCAGAAUGUUGGCAGCCCCAGAAAAGCAGCUCCAUGUCUGCCCUGUUCACCCCUGUAUUUGUGGUGCCCAAACAGUCCUGGCCUGCAGGAGGCCCUCGGAAAUGUAAAAUGAACCACACAGCUCCCGCCUGAGGCUCCAGACUGUAUUUCUGGCGGACAGCACUGUUCUACAGGGCUUGGAAAGGGCCUGAGACACUGACAUCAGAGAUGGACACAGAUGGUGGCCAAAGAUGCAGUGAACUGAGAAGCAAAGCUGGGUUGAACUGCAAGCUCCUUGAAAACUUCUGCAGUAGGUCUCUGGAAUGUUCUCAGGAACAAAGCAGCUUCCAAGAACGCAGAACACCCUCAACUACUCACCUGUAACAGUGGGGCUGACCCCCAGUUUCUGAUAGCUAAGACUUUCUCUCUGCCUACUGCUGCUGCCUCCCAGAGCGGAGUGGGCAGCAGGCUCCUAAUGGCUCAGCCCACCCUCACAGGGAUGCCGGCUUCCCUGUAAUACCACCUGCAGUGUGCUGGUGCCACAGGACCAUGUCAACCUCUCCUCAUGGCCUACUGCCACUUCCAGAGCUGCGCUGCAUGGAGAAGCCAUCCGGGCAAUCCCCGAUUUAUCCUUUCACAUCCACAGAACAGCUUAAGAGCAUGGUGUUACAGAAUCCUCAUUUUAUAGAGAGAAGAAAUCCGAGGCUCAGAGAAGCACCUAGAGACUGGGUAUCCACAGCGCUGUCCAGUGGAACCGUCUGUGGUAGUGGCAAUGACCUAUACCUGGGCUGUCCAGUACAGGGGUCACCUGUAGCUACCACAGAGCCUGCAAUGCAACUGGCACAAAUGAGAAAUAGAAUUUUGAAUUUUGUUCAAUGUUAAUUAUUAUAAACCAAACAGGCACACACAGUAGUGGCCAACUGUACUUGACAGGAGACUAAGGAAACACAGAUCAGGCGAUGGAGAGAAUAUGGACACAUAAUUCUCUGUGGACACAUCUAUGAAAUGGCCAAUGUGGGUGCACUCAACACACAUUUCCUGAGACCUGCUUAUAUGUCAGGCUUGUGCUGGGCACUGCAGCAGCUACACAAGACAGGCAGAUGCAUGUCUGGAGAAGAGGCACACCCAAGGACCUGAGAGGGAGGAAGGGGUGCUGUCUUCAAGGACAGAAAGGACAUCUCUGUGUACAGUAUAAACAUAAGCAAAAAAGGAGAGACUGAAAGUCACGUGAACACAGGACAGAGGAACUCCAAGUCGGAGGGAAAAUACGAUGCAGUUUUUAGCAACCCAUUUAUAGCCAGCUUUUGAGAAUGUAGC